UACAGAGGGUGCGAGCGUUGUUCGGAAUUACUGGGCGUAAAGAGCUCGUAGGCGGUUUGUCGCGUCUGCUGUGAAAACUCGGGGCUUAACUCCGGGCCUGCAGUGGGUACGGGCAGACUAGAGUGCGGUAGGGGGAGACUGGAAUUCCUGGCGUAGCGGUGAAAUGCGCAGAUAUCAGGAGGAACACCGGUGGCGAAGGCGGGUCUCUGGGCCGUAACUGACGCUGAGGAGCGAAAGCGUGGGGAGCGAACAGG
rnacentral:rRNA from 1 species